UGGGGAAUUUUGGACAAUGGGCGAAANCCUGAUCCAGCAAUGCCGCGUGUGUGAAGAAGGCCUUCGGGUUGUAAAGCACUUUUGUCCGGAAAGAAAUCCUUGGCUCUAAUACAGUCGGGGGAUGACGGUACCGGAAGAAUAAGCACCGGCUAACUACGUGCCAGCAGCCGCGGUAAUACGUAGGGUGCAAGCGUUAAUCGGAAUUACUGGGCGUAAAGCGUGCGCAGGCGGUUUGCUAAGACCGAUGUGAAAUCCCCGGGCUCAACCUGGGAACUGCAUUGGUGACUGGCAGGCUAGAGUAUGGCAGAGGGGGGUAGAAUUCCACGUGUAGCAGUGAAAUGCGUAGAGAUGUGGAGGAAUACCGAUGGCGAAGGCAGCCCCCUGGGCCAAUACUGACGCUCAUGCACGAAAAGCGUGGGGAGCAAACAGGAUUAGAUACCCUGGUAGUCCACGCCCUAAACGAUGUCAACUAGUUGUUGGGGAUUCAUUUCCUAGUAACGUAGCUAACGCGUGAAGUUGACCGCCUGGGGAGUACGGUCGCAAGAUUAAAACUUAAAUGAAUUGACGGGGUCAUAGCUGUUUCCU
rnacentral:rRNA from 1 species